ensembl:lncRNA
CCCAGGAGUCCGAGGACGAGGACGACGAGGACGAGGACGACGAGGAGGAGGAGGAGGAGGAGGAGGAGGACGCAGGAGAACGGCGACUCCUCCGAGGACGGUGGGGACUCCUCGGAGUCCAGCAGCGAGGAGGAGAGCGAGGACGGGAUGAGAACGAGGAGGACGAGGACGACGAGGACGACGACGAGGACGACGACGAGGACGAGGAUAACGAGUCCGAGGGCAGCAGCUCCAGCUCCUCGUCCUCGGGGGACUCCUCGGACUCGGACUCCAACUGAGGGCGUGGCCGCCCGCCCGGCCCCCGCAGUGUCUUGCCCCCACCCCCGCCUCCCCACUUUCUUUCUUUCUUUUUCUUUUUUAAACGAAACGUGGUGGGGGCGGGGGCGGGCCAGACUCCCGGGCCCGGAGCCACUGCCGGGUCCCCCGGGACAGCAGCCAUCAGACUGAGCCAGACGGGAUGCCGGCCACCACCCGCCCCGCACUUGCGGUUUGGGCCCGGACAGUGGACUGGGUGGGCUGGGGUCCGAGAUCGGAGGCGGGUGGCCAGAGGAGUUGCCCUGCCAGAGGGGCUGCUGCCCACCGGACCCUGCAUUGGACCUGGAGGCGGGGAGCGGGGGCGGGCGGUGCGCGGAGCCCCAGCACUGCCUCUGCCCUAGCCCUGCCCCACAGGGAGGGCCAGAAGUGUUUUUAUAUAUGUGUAUAUAUUUUUUUUUAAGCUUUGAGCUGUCAACGAGACGCUUCCUACCGAUUCCGCUGCCGUCUCUGUUGUCAUUUCUGGGAGAGGGAGGGCUUAGGGGGUAGGUCGGGGACUUUUAAAAAGUGGUCCUGGUGUGCGUGGGAGAGUGUGUGUGUGCGUGUGUGUCCUGUACAUAGCGUGGGUGCACCUGUGGCUGCACAUGGGUCUAUUCUGGAGCCCGUGGUGCCAUGGGCAGAAGAGGGGUUGGUGACAUCCGGGCACGGGCCCUGGGGGACUGACCGGCUGCGGCUGCCCCCCGUGGCCUCCUCGCCGGGCGCUGGCUCCAAGGCCACUCCAGUGCAUCCUGCAGCCGGUUGGUCCCCUCCUCCAGGGUUGUGCGUGUCAGCUCCUGCAGGUCCCUGCCAGCCAACAGCAAGGUGGGAAGGGCGAGCCUGGCGUGGACCUGGAAGCCACCCCCUGCGCCUUGAGGGGCCAGCAAGGCUGCAGGACGUUCCCGUCACUGCCACGUGUGUCCCCCCGCCUGGCCUGUGUCCCCCGCCUGGCCUGUUUCCUUUGAUUUCUCAGGUCUGUUCCCCCUCUCCCCCGAUCCCACAGCAGGGCCUCCUGCAGCUGGGCCCCAACCCUUGCUGGCUGCCCCAGGCCCUUGGUACCCUGAUUCCUCAACUCUUCAUAAGCCAAACCAGCUCCUCCCCAGAUGUUUUUUUCAAUUAUGCCCAACCUCUAUUUAACGGGGACUUCACUUUCCCAGCACCCCCUUCUGAAUGAAAGCCCGGAAUGGGGAGUGGGGGUCAAGUGGUGGGCAGGGACAUGGGGCCCAGACGCUGGGGGGGGUGGGACGGGACCCCCACGCCCACUCCCUCUGCUGGGGUCCUGGAAUCAGGCACAGGGUUUAUGGUUUUGGUUCCCAGGGGCCCCACAAGGAGCCCCAGUCCGUAUUUGAAUGCCCUGCACUCUUAUGUUUUAGUGGAAUAUGUUUUCAUUUAAAGCAACUUUAAACAGGAUACUUUUUUUUUCCUGUUUUAAAAACAGAAAUUCUUACAGUACAGACAGGACCGUGGGGAAGCGGGCAUUGGUGCUGUAAGAGCUCGCUGAGUGCAUUUUGGCACUGGGGUGGGAGGGCCCCCUGCCCCCUUUUUUUCUAAUAUUUAAGGUGUGUUUUGUAGGUUUCCACAACAGCCACCUUGACUUUGUACCAUGGGAGGCGGGAGGGAGUGGCCCAGGGUCUGCCUAAGCUGACGGCCGGCUGUGGACAUUUUGUUUUCCCCUUUUUUGUACAAUAAAGUGAAAAAUGAAGAUUUGACUGCUGUUUGGUCACUGGCUAAAUGAAAGUGGGUGGCGGAGUGACAGGUUUGAUACAGAAAGACUUGUGCUGGCACAUGCCUGUAGUCAGGAGGCUGAGACAGAAGGACCAAAAGUUCAAGGCCAUGCCGGGAAUGUAGCUCAGUGUCACCGCACCUGCCUCAACCGCAAGGCCGAGUUCAGUCCCUAUACCAGGAAAAUGUAAAAUUUCAAGGCCAGCCUGGGCCACUCGGAGAGCCCCUGUCUCAAACAGCCAGGAUGUGGCACCGUGGUGGAGCACACCUCCCUGCACAAACCCCCUGUGGGGACCAGGGUCCCCUGCCUCCACCCAGAGCCACACAGUACUGCCAAAACCACCUGGGCCUUGAGGGACGCGGCUGGCCUCAUGGACAUCUCAGUGCCUGCAGCAGGGAGGACGUGGCCAACCUAACUGUGACCCCAG